AUUGUGAUCAGCGCAAAAAAGAGAGCAGGCCAACCAAGUUAAAAUGUCACAAUUGCCAGAAUACAAUGGCCAGUUUUGUGUUGCUUUGAGUAUACGAGUUUGUAUAUUGGAGAGCAAAAAGUAAAAAUCAUUUUAGAACUUAUCAUAAUUGGAGACAAACAAAAUACAAUUUCUCAAGCCCAAGACUAACGAGAAUGAAGUUGCAAUAUUCCAAUUCAAAGCAUUCCUGGCUUUCCCCCCAGAUGAAGUCCAGAUUCAAAGAUGGAGGAUAAAAGUUCUGUUUUGCGAACCAAGUCUGG